GACGAACGCUGGCGGCGUGCUUCAUACAUGCAAGUCGAACGAGGUCCAACCGGUAGCAAUACCGGUGAAGACCUAGUGGCGAACGGGUGAGUAACACGUGAGGAACCUGCCCCGAAGACCGGGAUAACAGCGGGAAACCGCUGCUAAUACCGGAUACCCCCACCGGAUCGCAUGGUCUGGUGAGGAAAUGCCUGAUUCUUAGAUUCAGACGCUCCGGGAGGGCCUCGCGGCCUAUCAGCUCGUUGGUGGGGUAACGGCCUACCAAGGCGACGACGGG
rnacentral:rRNA from 1 species